rnacentral:rRNA from 1 species
AGAGUUUGAUCCUGGCUCAGGAUGAACGCUAGCGGCAGGCUUAACACAUGCAAGUCGAGGGGCAGCGGGUGUAGCAAUACAUGCCGGCGACCGGCGAAAGGGUGAGUAACGCGUGAGCAACGUGCCCGUAUGUGGGGGAUAGUCGAUGGAAACGUCGCGUAAUACCCCGUAACACAUGGUCUCGCAUGGGAUUAUGUUGAAAGAUUUAUUGCAUACGGAUCGGCUCGCGUGCCAUUAGGUAGACGGCGGGGUAACGGCCCACCGUGCCGACGAUGGCUAGGGGUUCUGAGAGGAAGGUCCCCCACAUUGGAACUGAGACACGGUCCAGACUCCUACGGGAGGCAGCAGUGAGGAAUAUUGGACAAUGGCCGGAAGGCUGAUCCAGCCAUGCCGCGUGCGGGAAGACGGCCCUAUGGGUUGUAAACCGCUUUUGCGAGGGAGCAAUAAGGGUCACGUGUGGCCCGAUGAGAGUACCUUGCGAAUAAGCAUCGGCUAACUCCGUGCCAGCCGCCGC